UUAUUAUAAAAUGUUCAUUACAGACAUAGUUUUUUUAAUAUAUCUGAUGACAAAUUAAUACAAAUGCUUAUACCAACAAAUAAAAAUAAUGAAAGAAACUAAAUGAUAAAUAAAACUAAAACAUAAAUAAAUAAAUAAAAACAAAUACAAUCUUAGAGAGAUAACUCUUGAAUACGUAUGACCAAAUUAAUCUUGGUUCCCCAUAAAAGAUAUGAGUUUCCCACUCAUAUGUAUGCAACUUCUUGGUGUUAUAAUAGCUAGGUCUCUAUGCGUCUCAAAAUUUUGUGGUGUUCUACUUUGUAAUGUCAUUUUUAUAAAUUCGAGUUUUCUUUUUAUCACUUUCGUGUUUUGUCGUCUAGAAAAUUCAUGGUUAAUCACACGUUAAAUGUAGCAUUGUUGUUUAAUUAGAUCAUUCGUGCUUUGUUUUGAUCGUAUAGCUCAAGAGAUUAAUUACAGUUUGUUUUUAUCGAUAAACAUGAGUGAGAUGGUGUUGAUGACAAUUGGAGUUUAUAAUCAAAAGUUGUAAUAAAAACCUAACUAUGGGAAUCUUGUCACGCAGGUAAAAAAGACCCUUUAUCUCGUUUCUCUUAUUGUUCUCUCUAAAAUCGGAUUGGUGAUGAUUGUUGUUAUAACAGCCCAAGUAGUAGUAGGAGAUCAUCAGAUGAUAGCAUGAAGCUUUUUACAACAGCAUUGUUUGUUAUAGCUUUUGGCAUUGUUAUUGGACUAUCUUUUCCAUCUUUAUGGAUCACUGAGGUUCUUCUUAUUUCUCUUCAAAUCUUUUACUUCUUAGAUUUUAUACUUCGUUUGUCGCAUGCCAUUUUUGUAUUGUGUAGACAAGUCUCCCGAGAAACCUUCUUCGCUCCACUCACUUAGAGAUUCAGGAAUUGCAAC
rnacentral:sRNA from 1 species